rnacentral:lncRNA from 1 species
GAUGGCAGGGCUGCCCCGCAGGAUCAUCAAGGAAACCCAGGGUUUGCUGGCAGAACCAGUUCCUGGCAUCAAAGCAGAACCAGAUGAGAGCAAUGCCUGUUAUUUUCAUGUGGUCAUUGCUGGCUCUCAGGAUUCCUUCCCCCUUUGAGGGAGGGACUUUUAAACUUGAACUAUUCCUUCCAGAAGAAUACUCAAUGGCAGCCCCUACAGUAUGUUUCAUGACCAAAAUUUAUCAUCCUAAUGUAGACAAGUUGGGAAGAAUAUGUUUCGAUAUUUUGAAAGGUAACUGGUCCCCAGCACUGCAGAUCCGCACACAGUUCUGCUAUCAACCCAGGCCUUGUUAUGUGCUCCCAAUCCAGACGAUCCAUUAGCAAAUGAUGUAGCAGAGCAGUGGAAGACCAACAAAGCCCAAGCCAUAGAAACAGCUAGAGCAUGAACUAGGCUAUAUGCCAUGAAUAAUAUU